GCAUGGCUGCAUCGACGUGCCUCCUGGGCGCUGCGCGCCUGCGCACGGUCAAGGGGUCAAACCUGGCCAGCGGGCAGAGGCAGUGCCUUUUUUUUAGCAAAUUUUUUUUGAGGUGCAUUUUUUAGCAAAUCGGGCGGGCGUGCCUCGAUGGGCUGUGCGUGCCGGGCCAGCGUGCCGACCCAUAUAGCCGAGGGGCCGUGCCUGGGCCACGAUGCUCAACACGCGUGCCUGGCCCGUUUACCCCAGGCCGGGCCGGCCCAUUUGGCCAGGUAUAGCUGCGGCUGUAGUUCCCAGAUCCCGCCAAGGGCAUAGAUGGGAUUUCGCUUAGGCUGGCGCCACGUGGCCUUUUUCAAUUCGCUGUUCUCUCCCCGAGGAGACGGGUAGGGUUUGGUCUCGCUCUUCUCACUUCUCUCUCGAAACGCCGCCGCCCCCAGCCACCCCAGUCCCCAGUCUCCUCCCCUCCCGUCGGCCACACUCCCCGCCAGUCGUCCUCUUGCAUCUCCCGGGCGCCGCCACCGCCGCCGCGAACGUCGCUGCUCCCCGUCGAGCUCGCGCGCCUCCAUCGCCAGGAGGAACGGAGGCUGCUGCUUCCGCAGCUGCUCGGCCGUCUCUCCCUCGGCGUCGAGCGGCUCAUGGCGGCACCGUUUCUGUUGUCCAACACGUGCUCUCCUUGACGCGAUAUCGACGCUUCCCCUCUACGUCACGCGGUGGCCAUGGUCGGAGCUUUGCCGCCUCCAACUUCGGCGCCCGUCUCCACUCCGUCUAGGUUAUUUCAAAAGAGGCAGUGAUUGCUACAUUCAAAAGGAAAGGUAUCUGAUCCUAAAAAAAAACAGGAACUGUAUCUGUUGAAGGGGUGAGGUUCUAAAUGUAUUGUAGCAAAUUUGGACUACUUCCUGAGUAUCAUAAACAAACGUGAUGGUCCAGAUCUAUAGAAAGUUCUGAAAGCUUAAGCUGCUUAUAAGAUAGCCCUCCUGUAAUGCCAUCUGGACAGAGUGUCAAGAAACAAUAUUAACAGAUAUUGUGCUUCCACAAAAUGCUGCGUUCUGGAUCGUUGGGGCUUUGGGGGGCGUUGGUUGGCCCAUUUGUAAGUGGAUGUAUCACUGCCAGUAGGCCCACUAUGGGCGGUUGUGUUCGGUCUUUGUUGGCCUUGCUCUCUCGCAUGGCUGCACAACACCCCCUCAUGUACCUCUCAUUACCUCCUUCACUUCCUAGUGCUCGUGCUAGGGUUUCUGGCCUGCCACCAGCGCUCGUCCGCCUCCGUGCUGUUGUCGUUGAUCUCCUCCCUCGUGCUACCUCCUGCUUCUCCGUUGUCGCCACGCUCUUCUCAGCCUGCUGGCGCCAUGGCCGCCCUUGCUCCUAUUCGCACGCCGUCGUUGGGGCUGCCCUUGUUCCUAUCCAAGAAUGAGUUGCUUCGGUGCCACAUUUUCAUGGUGGAUGAAAUAGUGGGUGCCUGUUAAUAUAUGGUUAAAUUGAGCUUGGCAGUUUGUACUGAAGAUGGUUGGUUUGCAUUUUUGCUUUUUGUGCAUGUGGUUUCUGGUCUAUAGGCCCCAGUGCUCUGUUAUUUUAGAUGGGGUGAGCAGGGACCUUUUCCCCUUUCGUUGUUUAGAAUAAAAGGGAAAUUCUGUGGUAAUGAUUACAUGAAGUAAUACAAGUUUUCUUUUGGCAUCAAUUAUUGCUACAUAAGUGAAUGCUAUGAUGAGAUCUGUACGACCAGUAUUUUCUUCUUCGAUUCUUGGUUUGGUGUCCCUGAUCGAACUUCCUUCGUAAUUUCAUACAUUUGAACCAGUUGCAAGAUUUAGUGCCCUGUAUGUUGGUUCCAUGGUGAAAACAGACAAUCCUUGGGGUGUUUUCACUGAAGUUUUUGGAUGCAGGUUACACAUGGUUUCAGUACACCAGUAGCAGCUGCUGUUUUCUUAAUGUAGAAACAUGUUAUUUCAUUGCUAUGAAAAAAGGCUAUUGUGUUUUGUACAGAUAUUUCUAUGUUUAGUAAUUAGUAAAGAGUUAUGGACAUCUAUUAAACCAAUAUUUUCUUCCUUCCAAACGUGUACACUUAUUGCUAACAACCUAGCCUACACUCUCGGACUAGCUUCAAAAGAAUCUUGUUUUACAUUUACCAUAUAGUGGAUGAAAUUAGUUGUUCACCAUGGCACUCCAUCGUUGUUCGUACCCCGACGAAGCAAUGGAUAUCUUAGAAAAAAGUAAAGAUUGGUCUUUGCUUUUGACUUGGUGUUUUUAAUAUUUUUUAUGUCUUUCUGUUUUGGUGAUUGUCCUACAAUGUUCAUUGGAAGUUGGGUUUUGUGAUAACUCUUUUUUGAAACUCGGAUGCAGGGUUGCUCCAUGCAAGGUUCCAUACCCGGAGCACAUUUAGAGAAGUUUACGGUACAUGAUUAUUUACCUGGAAUUUUUGGAGAUCAAGGCGGCGAAAUACUCUUUUUGUGAUGUGGACCAUCGUCUUGUGGCCUGGUGAAUGAUAUAGACAUACAGAGAUUCACCCCAUGCCUGGAUGGAGACAAUUACAGUGGCUCUUUGGAGUGAAACUGCUGAAGCUUUUGAUGCAGACAAACUAAUACAAAGGUUGUGGUUGCUCUGGUUGUAGGCUGCACAUACAAAAAAAUUCUAGUCUAAAACCUUUCAGCAAGUUAUGGUAUGAGGUUUGUAUUAACACGGAUGAUCCAGAGAUCUUUGCCCUUCAUCACAGAUUGAUUUCGCCUUGGAUUAGCAUGUGGUGUUGCAUGUUUAUACGAUAUGCGUGUUAAUCAACUGUUGGCAUGACAUAUAGGCUGCAAGGUUCUCCACUGCCUAUUUAACUUGCGAGCAAGAGAGGACGGUGAUUUGAGCCCAGUGAAGUUGAUAUGGCUACUGUGCGAAUCUGUCAGACUUGUCCAGUGCGGAUUCAUGGUGAUUCUUGCAGGUCAAAAAGUUCGGAUGCAAAAUUAUGAUUGACGAUCUGCAACCAAACCAGAGCUGGUGGUUCCUGUGAUUUGAGAAAUGUAUUUGGAUAACCGUGGUUCAUGAAGGAACUAUGAACAAGUGUAUAAACUACAGAGGAGGGUUGCUUAGGCAAAACUGAACCACCCAGGAUAUGUGAUUCGAUAAGGCUUAGUCUACAGUAUCAAUUCAGCCUAACUUGCCAACAGUGCUGAUCAGUGCUGAUUCGGGAAACAACAUGAGCCAAUAAGCACUGGAAAACAAUAAAACACCCUAACUAGCUAACAGCCUAACUUGCAUGUUCGAAUUGUGUGAGACUGACAUUUGUAGUACCGUAGUGUUUAUUAGAAUAUACAGCGCAGUGGUACAUGCUCUCUUUUUUUCCCUACAUGAACACACUGUUUGUCAGGUCUAACUAGUAGCGAUUAUAAGAGGGCAGGAGUUAUGUCUCG